UGUGUGUGUGUGUGUGUGUGUGUGUGUGUGUGUGUGUGUGUGCAUGAGUCAGCGGCUGGAGGUGGGGUGUAGGUGCUGAGAGACAACUAAUCCUCGAGUACAGACAUAUGCCGGGCUGGAGCAUCACCAAGGACAAAGAACCAAGUGUUACACAUUAAGACGUGACUGAUAUGAUGGGCACAUUUUAAGACUAGCAGCGCUGCGCCGGCCCACUGUACCAGAGCAGGGGCCUUUUCCUGAGGCUUUGUUUGGCCUGGCCUCUGGGAAUGGCUCAAAUUUAGGUGGAUGUGACAGAAUACCUCUCGACCCCGACAAUCACCAUG